AUUGAACGCUGGCGGCAGGCCUAACACAUGCAAGUCGAACGAGUGGCGGACGGGUGAGUAAUGUCUGGGAAACUGCCUGAUGGAGGGGGAUAACUACUGGAAACGGUAGCUAAUACCGCAUACCAUCGGAUGUGCCCAGAUGGGCUUAGCUAGUCGGUGGGGUAAAGGCUCACCUAGGCGACGAUCCCUAGCUGGUCUGGGAGGAUGACCAGCCACACUGGAACUGAGACACGGUCCAGACUCCUACGGGAGGCAGCAGUGGUGAAUCUUGGACAAUGGGCGAAAGCCUGAUGCAGCCAUGCCGCGUGUGUGAAGAAGGCCUUCGGGUUGUAAAGUACGUUCAGCGGGGAGGCGUUACCCGAAGAAGAAGCACCGGCUAACUCCGUGCCAGCAGCCGCGGUAAUAC
rnacentral:rRNA from 1 species